CUACGGGUGGCUGCAGUGAGGAAUAUUGCACAAUGGGGGGAACCCUGAUGCAGCAACGCCGCGUGGAGGAUGACGCAUUUCGGUGUGUAAACUCCUUUUAUAUGUCAAGAAAAUGACGGUAGCAUAUGAAUAAGCACCGGCUAACUCCGUGCCAGCAGCCGCGGUAAUACGGAGGGUGCAAGCGUUACUCGGAAUCACUGGGCGUAAAGGACGCGUAGGCGGGUUGGGAAGUCAGGUGUGAAAUCCUACAGCUUAACUGUAGAACUGCACUUGAAACUUCUAAUCUAGAGUAUGGGAGAGGGAGAUGGAAUUAGUGGUGUAGGGGUAAAAUCCGUAGAUAUCACUAGGAAUACCUAAAGCGAAGGCGAUCUCCUGGAACAUUACUGACGCUAAGGCGUGAAAGCGUGGGGAGCAAACAGGAUUAGAUACCCCAGUAGUC
rnacentral:rRNA from 1 species